rfam:Peptococcaceae bacterium BRH_c23 BRHa_1003155, whole genome shotgun sequence.
UAGGCGAUAUCUAAGGAGUCGUACUGUCUGGUUAGAAUUAGCACAUAUCAUAAUUGAAAUUUAAUGAACAACUAUAUAUCUAUAAAACCGCUUGGAUCUAAUUUGACCGAGACGGAGGG